rnacentral:RNase_P_RNA from 1 species
GAGGAAAGUCCGAGCUCCACAGGGCAGGGUGCCGGGUAAUACCCGGUGGAGGCGACUCCAAGGAAAGUGCAACAGAGAUAUACCGCCUGGCACUCAACUUGCUGAGUGCUGGGUAAGGGUGGAAAGGUGAGGUAAGAGCUCACCAGGGACCAGGCGACUGGUCUGCUCUGCAAACCCCACCCGGAGCAAGGCGAAUAGGAGGGAGUAGGUGGC